UACGUAGGUGACAAGCGUUGUCCGGAUUUACUGGGCGUAAAGAGCGCGCAGGCGGUCGAUCAAGUCGAGUGUGAAAGCCCCCGGCUCAACUGGGGAGGGUCAUUCGAUACUGAUCGACUCGAAGGCAGGAGAGGGUAGUGGAAUUCCCGGUGUAGUGGUGAAAUGCGUAGAUAUCGGGAGGAACACCAGUGGCGAAGGCGACUACCUGGCCUGUUCUUGACGCUGAGGCGCGAAGGCUAGGGGAGCAAACAGG
rnacentral:rRNA from 1 species